rnacentral:rRNA from 1 species
UAUAACCGGCGAUUUCCGAAUGGGGAAACCCAGUGUGACUCGUCACACUAUCAUUAACUGAAUCCAUAGGUUAAUGAGGCGAACCGGGGGAACUGAAACAUCUAAGUACCCCGAGGAAAAGAAAUCAACCGAGAUUCCCCCAGUAGCGGCGAGCGAACGGGGAGGAGCCCAGAGCCUGAAUCAGCAUGUGUGUUAGUGGAAGCGUCUGGAAAGGCGCGCGAUACAGGGUGACAGCCCCGUACACAAAAGCGCAUGUGCUGUGAGCUCGAUGAGUAGGGCGGGACACGUGGUAUCCUGUCUGAAUAUGGGGGGACCAUCCUCCAAGGCUAAAUACUCCUGACUGACCGAUAGUGAACCAGUACCGUGAGGGAAAGGCGAAAAGAACCCCGGCGAGGGGAGUGAAAAAGAACCUGAAACCGUGUACGUACAAGCAGUGGGAGCCCCACCACUAAGCCAGUGGUGAACUCCACAUACGCAUCCUUUGCUGAGGAUACGGUUAACGGAGCGAAAGCGACGUUCAACCGCAAAAGAAGCAGAGGGGGCUUAGUGGUGGGGUGACUGCGUACCUUUUGUAUAAUGGGUCAGCGACUUAUAUUCUGUAGCAAGGUUAACCGUAUAGGGGAGCCGGAGGGAAACCGAGUCUUAAUUGGGCGUUAAGUUGCAGGGUAUAGACCCGAAACCCGGUGAUCUAGCCAUGGGCAGGUUGAAGGUUGGGUAACACUAACUGGAGGACCGAACCGACUAAUGUUGAAAAAUUAGCGGAUGACCUGUGGCUGGGGGUGAAAGGCCAAUCAAACCGGGAGAUAGCUGGUUCUCCCCGAAAGCUAUUUAGGUAGCGCCUCGUGAAUUCAUCUCCGGGGGUAGAGCACUGUUUCGGCUAGGGGGCCAUCCCGGCUUACCAACCCGAUGCAAACUGCGAAUACCGGAGAAUGUUAUCACGGGAGACACACGGCGGGUGCUAACGUCCGUCGUGAAGAGGGAAACAACCCAGACCGCCAGCUAAGGUCCCAAAGUCAUGGUUAAGUGGGAAACGAUGUGGGAAGGCCCAGACAGCCAGGAUGUUGGCUUAGAAGCAGCCAUCAUUUAAAGAAAGCGUAAUAGCUCACUGGUCGAGUCGGCCUGCGCGGAAGAUGUAACGGGGCUAAACCAUGCACCGAAGCUGCGGCAGCGACGCUGAUGCGUUGUUGGGUAGGGGAGCGUUCUGUAAGCCUGCGAAGGUGGCCUGUGAGGGUUGCUGGAGGUAUCAGAAGUGCGAAUGCUGACAUAAGUAACGAUAAAGCGGGUGAAAAGCCCGCUCGCCGGAAGACCAAGGGUUCCUGUCCAACGUUAAUCGGGGCAGGGUGAGUCGACCCCUAAGGCGAGGCCGAAAGGCGUAGUCGAUGGGAAACGGGUUAAUAUUCCCGUACUUGGUGUUACUGCGAAGGGGGGACGGAGAAGGCUAUGUUGGCCGGGCGACGGUUGUCCCGGUUUAAGCGUGUAGGUGUGUGUUCUAGGUAAAUCCGGUUCACUU